UGAGGAAUCUUGCACAAUGGACGAAAGUCUGAUGCAGCGACGCCGCGUGGAGGAUGAAGGUCUUCGGAUUGUAAACUCCUGUUAAGUGGGAAGAAAUACCCAUAAAUAAUACGUAUGGGUGAUGACGGUACCAUUAGAGAAAGCACCGGCUAACUUCGUGCCAGCAGCCGCGGUAAUACGAGGGGUGCAAGCGUUAUUCGGAAUCAUUGGGCGUACAGGGCGCGUAGACGGCAAAUUAAGUCAAUUGUUAAAUACUCUAGCCUAACUGGAGAUAUGCAGUAGAUACUGAUUUGCUUGAGGAUGAAAGAGAGAAGUGGAAUUCUCGGAGUAGCGGUAAAAUGCGUAGAUCUCGAGAGGAACAUCGAUGGCGAAGGCAGCUUCUUGGUUCAUAUCUGACGUUGAGGCGCGAAAGCGUGGGGAGCAAACAGG
rnacentral:rRNA from 1 species